AAGUCGUAACAAGGUUUCCGUAGGUGAACCUGCGGAAGGAUCAUUAGCAAGUCCGAGGACGUCCCGGCCGGACCCUGCGGGGGAUGGCGACGGAGUCCUGACGAAAAGGAAGUCGAAGCGGUCGAGGUCCUCGCCGCUUCGCCGGUCCACAAACCCUCUCGGUGUACCGAUCCACGUUGCCUUCCCGGGCCCAACCGCCCGGGAAUGGACAGAAACGCUCUUGUAAUUGGUAGUCUGACUGGACGGCCCACGAGCCGUCCGAAAACAAAUAACGAAACGUUAAAACUUUCAACAACGGAUCUCUUGGUUCUCGCAUCGAUGAAGAACGCAGCGAAAUGCGAUAAGUAAUGUGAAUUGCAGAAUUCAGUGAAUCAUCGAAUCUUUGAACGCACAUUGCGCCCCCUGGCAUUCCGGAGGGCAUGCCUGUUCGAGCGUCACGAAAUCCUCAUCACACUCGUUGUGGUCAUGGCGGAGGUGAGGAGCCCCCUCGCGGGGCUGCCACGCCGCUGAAAGGAAUGGUGCGGACGAGUCCCGAUGGCCUGACGUAGUACUUUACAAUCGUCGAAGAAUCGGAUGCCCAGUCUCGCCCAGACGAUGGACCCCCAUCGUACUCUCAAAGGUGGACCUCGGAUCAGGUAGGGAUACCCGCUGAACUUA
rnacentral:rRNA from 1 species